AAAAAACAAACAUUGUAGUCCAUAUAGAGCAAGUUAUGACAUCCAAGAACCAUCAACUAGCAAAGGUAUUUUGUAGGACUUGGACGUGAAAAAGUUCAGUGAACUUACACCUCAAAAGCAAACGCUGUCUAAGAGAUGCAGAAAAAAUCUAUCUGAAAUAGUGAGGCUCUGAAAAAAGUUUCAAGGUACAGUAAAGUGGAGCCACAUAGAGGAGUUUUAUAAUAAAGAUCGCGAGAAUCCCAACCGUGUUUGCUCCAGCUUUAACCCAGCACCACUUACAACCAGUACAGAAUGGCAAACAGAAAAUCAAAGAGCGCCUAGCAGAUCAAAUUUUAAGCCAUUCGGUUGCAGUUGGAAUAUUUGCCAAAAUGAAUGAUGACAAGACGCCCCUGGAACAACUGUCGCUGGACAAGCUUUUCGACUGAACGGAGAUUCGACCGACAGGAAAGAGGUAUAAACACUUAUUAUAAUAAUACUUGACAUCUGUAAUUGUGGAUGUGAUCCAAACCCCACGUCGGUCCAAUUAAAAACUAGCUUAGGCAAUUAGUAGCAGCGUUUUUAAUACGCUGAAAUUAUUAUUCUUCGAAGACACUAAACCUAGCUGCGCAACUGAAUAUCCCUGU